AGAGUUUGAUCCUGGCUCAGAACGAACGCUGGCGGCAGGCUUAACACAUGCAAGUCGAGCGCCCCGCAAGGGGAGCGGCAGACGGGUGAGUAACGCGUGGGAAUCUACCUAGCUCUACGGAAUAGCUCCGGGAAACUGGAAAUAAUACCGUAUACGCCCUUCGGGGGAAAGAUUUAUUGGAGUUAGAUGAGCCCGCGUUGGAUUAGCUAGUUGGUGGGGUAAUGGCCUACCAAGGCGACGAUCCAUAGCUGGUCUGAGAGGAUGAUCAGCCACACUGGGACUGAGACACGGCCCAGACUCCUACGGGAGGCAGCAGUGGGGAAUAUUGGACAAUGGGGGCAACCCUGAUCCAGCCAUGCCGCGUGAGUGAUGAAGGCCUUAGGGUUGUAAAGCUCUUUUGCCCGGGAAGAUAAUGACGGUACCGGGAGAAUAAGCCCCGGCUAACUUCGUGCCAGCAGCCGCGGUAAUACGAAGGGGGCUAGCGUUGCUCGGAAUCACUGGGCGUAAAGCGCACGUAGGCGGAUCUUUAAGUCAGGGGUGAAAUCCCGGAGCUCAACUCCGGAACUGCCUUUGAUACUGGGGAUCUUGAGUUCGAGAGAGGUGAGUGGAACUGCGAGUGUAGAGGUGAAAUUCGUAGAUAUUCGCAAGAACACCAGUGGCGAAGGCGGCUCACUGGCUCGAUACUGACGCUGAGGUGCGAAAGCGUGGGGAUCAAACAGGAUUAGAUACCCUGGUAGUCCACGCCGUAAACGAUGGAUGCUAGCCGUUGGCCGGUUUACCGGUCAGUGGCGCAGCUAACGCUUUAAGCAUCCCGCCUGGGGAGUACGGUCGCAGAUUAAAACUCAAGGAUUGACGG
rnacentral:rRNA from 1 species